UACGUAGGUGACAAGCGUUGUCCGGAUUUACUGGGCGUAAAGAGCUCGUAGGCGGCUUGUCACGUCGAUUGUGAAAGCCCGAGGCUUAACCUCGGGUCUGCAGUCGAUACGGGCUAGCUAGAGUGUGGUAGGGGAGAUCGGAAUUCCUGGUGUAGCGGUGAAAUGCGCAGAUAUCAAGGAGGAACACCGGUGGCGAAGGCGGAUCUCUGG
rnacentral:rRNA from 1 species